rnacentral:rRNA from 1 species
AUGGUGAGCUCACCCCGUCCCAACUCCCAACUCCUAACAACCCUUUUGUUUAGGAGCCCCACUUCGGUUCUGCAAUAUCCGAAGAAGGUACGUGUGCUCCAUUUGUGUUUUUACAAUAGUAGCAAGCUACCUGAAUCUUUAGGUGUGCUGAAGCAUCUUCGGCAUUUGAACCUUGUCAAAACUUCUAUUGCCGAAUUGCCUGGGUCAUUAUGUGCUCUUUGUCAGCUACAGAAGGGGUCUGGGUUGCAACAGCUCAGUGACAUGAAAGAGCAUGGUGGCAGUUUAAGUGUCAGAAAUCUGGAGAAUGUCAGUGGAAAGAAUGAGGCCCUAGACUCUAAGCUAUAUCAGAAAAAUCACUUCGGAACCCUGUGCCUUGUCUGGAGUUCGAAUAAUGACACGAGUGUGCAGGAUAGUUUACGGUUGGAGAUUAUUGAAGGAAGCGCACCAAUGCACCCAAGUGAGCCAAUGGAAAAAUCCCAGGGUGGUCCAUGGACCACCAUCUGGCCACCCCUCGUUAUGCCAAUGCACUGA